GAUGAACGCUGGCGGCGUGCUUAACACAUGCAAGUCGAACGGAAAGGCGCUGCUUUUGUGGGGUGCUCGAGUGGCGAACGGGUGAGUAACACGUGAGUAACCUGCCCUUGACUUUGGGAUAACAUCAGGAAACUGGGGCUAAUACCGGAUAGGAGCUCCUGCUGCACAGUGGGGGUCGGAAAGUUUCGGCGGUGGGGGAUGGACUCGCGGCUUAUGAGCUGGUUGGUGGGGUAGUGGCUUACAAAGGCUUAGACGGAUAGCCGGCCUGGGAGGGUGGACGGGGACAUUAGUACUGAGAUAGGCACCAGUCGCGAACGGGAGGCAACGGUGGAAAGUAUUGCGGAGUGGGGCGAAGCCUGAUGAGACAACGCCGGGUGCGGGAUGACCGCCUUCUGGUUGUGAACCGCUUUCGCCGGUGACGAAGCGUGAGUGACGGUAAUGGGUAAAGAAGCACCGGCUAACUACGUG
rnacentral:rRNA from 1 species